rnacentral:rRNA from 1 species
GACGAAGGAUGCAAGCGUUAUCCGGAUUCAUUGGGCUUAAAGGGAGCGUAGGUGGCCUUAUAAGUCAGUGGUGAAAUCUUCGAGCUUAACUCGGAAAUUGCCAUUGAUACUGUAGGGCUUGAGUAUAGUUGCCGUUGGCGGAAUAUGACAUGUAGUGGUGAAAUACAUAGAGAUGUCAUAGAACACCGAUUGCGAAGGCAGCUGACGAAACUAGAACUGACACUGAGGCGCGAAAGUGCGGGGAGCAAACAGG